rnacentral:rRNA from 1 species
GAGUUUGAUCCUGGCUCAGGAUGAACGCUAGCGGCAGGCUUAACACAUGCAAGUCGAGGGGUAGAGGAAGCUUGCUUCCUUGAGACCGGCGCACGGGUGCGUAACGCGUAUGCAAUCUACCUUGUACAGGGGGAUAGCCCAGAGAAAUUUGGAUUAAUACCCCAUAGUGUAGUUGAAUGGCAUCAUUUAACUACUAAAGUUCCAACGGUACAAGAUGAGCAUGCGUCCUAUUAGCUAGUUGGUGUGGUAACGGCAUACCAAGGCUACGAUAGGUAGGGGUCCUGAGAGGGAGAUCCCCCACACUGGUACUGAGACACGGACCAGACUCCUACGGGAGGCAGCAGUGAGGAAUAUUGGACAAUGGGCGCAAGCCUGAUCCAGCCAUGCCGCGUGCAGGAAGACGGUCCUA